UAUUGCCCAACUUGUGGUCUAUCUUGGUCUAUGCUUCAUGCACACUUGAAAAUCUGGACACUUGACAUUGUUGCUUCUUUAAAGAGCAUUUCUCUGCCUAUAAAAUGCUUGAUCACAGAUCAUGUCCAAGAACAGCAAAUUUGCUCAGGAAAUAAAAGGGCCAGCAGUUAUCAGCUCAUAUAGUGUUUCCUCAGAUUAUACUGCGCUGAUCCAAACUCUAACAUUCAAGCUCAAACUCUAUAUAUCAUUUUCUUCAAGAAAGCCUUUCCUGACUGUGGUAGGCAGGGUAAUGACCUCCGAAGAUGUUCAUGUCAAAAUCUGCAGAACCUGUGAAAAUGUUACUUAACAAGGCAGAAGGCACUUUGAAGAUGUGAUCUAGUUAAGGAUCUAGAGAUUAGGAGAACAUCCUGGAUUCUCUGGCUGGGCCUCAUGUACUCACAUGAGUCCUUUAAAUGUGGAAGAGUGAGGCAGAAGAAGGAGUGUCAGAAUGAUGUAACAUGGGAAAGACUUGACCAGCUAGUGCCGUGUUUGAAGGUGGAAGGGGACCAUGAA